ensembl:lncRNA
CGGUCAGGUGGUGCCUUUACGGACGUUUAGUGUGGUAUGGAAUUCUUAAAGUGUAAAGAAAUAGCACGCUGUUUAUCACGUGAACCUGGAAACAGUCUGCACAGCGUUCCUCCAGGACCAGGUGGCAUUCAGGGGCCAGGACACCGGAGGAAGAAAGUUAAACUCUUCUGUCUCAAUGGUCAUCUUGUAAGUACAUCAGUCCAUUUGUUCCUCUCAUAAAAACAAGAGUUUCUGAAUGUUUCAAUCGCCUGCAGCCAAGAGGACAUAGUGUACAUUACUGAGCAGCAUGGCCCGUUGAUCACAGCAGGAAGGGGGGAUAUGGGCCUUUUCCUUCCCUGGGGUCAGCCAGACAUGAGCUGACCUUCUACAAGGCCUCGCUCUGUUUUGCUGGUUCACGUCCACCAGUCAGCGGUAACCAUUUGUCAAUGACAUCAUGUGUAGCUAUGAUGAGGUGAAUCAACAACAGACCCUGGCCGUGCGGACAAUGGCUAACUUGACAUUCCUCGCCAUGGUAACAGCUUUGUGUUUAGUUUGUGUGUUUCUUUUGUGUUUAUAGAGAUUAUCGUUUUUGAUUUUAUAUUAGUUGUUAUUUUUAAGUAGUUCUGGCCUCCCCUUGUUAUUUUACUUCCAGUCUUUUAGUGUGGUUUUGGUAGUAUUACUUUUGCAAAUGUUUACUUAAAGUUAUGGCCCCAUUCUAGUUUCUGUAUUUUUAGUAGGGGUCAUAUAUUUUUACGAUAUAAUGAAAGAACCUCAGAUCAUGAAGUCUUUUUAAAAAUAGAUGUAUCCACAUAAGUUCCACAUUCAGUUUUAUACCCAGACAUCAUUCUAUAGUUUUGUCCUGCUUACACAAAAAGUAAAAAAACAUUUAAUGUAAAUUUUAUCCUGUAUUUUAAUUUUUAGAAACUCGCCAAGUUUUUUCACCUCCUGAAAUUGCCAAUAACAAAACCAGCUGCUCAAAACUCUCCUAAGAAGCUGUGGUUCCCCAACCUAGGGAUCGGACAUCCACCUAGGGGUCACAAGAUAAAUGUGAGCCAUGGUAAGACGAUUAAUGGGAUAAAAAAAAAGAAAAAUGACGUUUUGCUACACAAUUUUUUUGGGGGGGAUUUUCUCUAAUCUUAGCUUUUUGUAAAAUAUUGGAUUCUUUUUUACUCUGCACGGGGGUAGACACUGUGUUUUUUGUAAGAUGUCAUAAGCCAAAAAGGUGACAAAAUUUUUAUCUGAAAGGUAACCAGUAACUAUAGCUGUCAGAUAAAGUAGUGAACCGUGCAAUGUCUCCCUUUGUAAUGUAGUGGAAUAUAAAGUAAUCAUGAAAUGGAAUUACUACAAGGACCUCAAAAUUGUAAAGUACAGUUGAGUAAAUGUACUUUUAACCAGUAGUUAACGAGAAAGCCGCGCUGACGUUGAUUGUCUUAGCUUAGCUUAGCAUAAUGAUUGGAAACGGAAGAAAACAUCUAGCGUGGCUCUGUCUAAAACACACCUACCUCCAACACAUUCAUACAAAACCCAAAAUCUAAUUUUACCACAAGUAGAUUUUUCCUGCAUGUAACCACAAAGCUUUGGACAGAGCCUGGCUAGCUGGUUCCUCCUCUUUCCAGUCUUUAUGCUAAGCUAAGAUAAGCUAAGCUAAACUAACCUAAUGGACGUUCGGCUUGAGAGUAGUAUUGAUUUUCUUGUGUAACUCUCAACUAGAAAGCGAUUUAAGCACAGUCCCAAAAUGACUAACUAUUUCUUUAAUGACCGACUGGCAUCUCAGCACUGUAGCCGUAUAUCAGUAUUGC